rnacentral:rRNA from 1 species
UACGUAGGGGGCAAGCGUUGUCCGGAAUCAUUGGGCGUAAAGAGCGUGUAGGCGGCCCGAUUAGUCCGCUGUGAAAGUCCAGGGCUCAACCCUGGAAUGCCGGUGGAUACUGUCGGGCUAGAAUCCGGAAGAGGCGAGUGGAAUUCCUGGUGUAGCGGUGAAAUGCGCAGAUAUCAGGAGGAACACCAAUGGCGAAGGCAGCUCGCUGGGACGGUAUUGACGCUGGAGACGCGAAAGCGUGGGGAGCAAACAGG